UACAGAGGUCCCAACCGUUGUUCGGAUUCAUUGGGCGUAAAGCGUGCGCAGGCGGUCGGAUAAGUCGAAUGUGAAAGCCCCCGGCUCAACUGGGGAGGGUCAUUCGAUACUGUUCGACUCGAAGGCAGGAGAGGGAAGUGGAAUUCCCGGUGUAGUGGUGAAAUGCGUAGAUAUCGGGAGGAACACCAGUGGCGAAGGCGACUUCCUGGCCUGUUCUUGACGCUGAGGCGCGAAAGCUAGGGGAGCAAACGGG
rnacentral:rRNA from 1 species